rnacentral:tRNA from 2 species
GCCGAGGUAGCUCAGUGGUAGAGCGCGGCCCUGAAAAGGCCGGCGUGGGGGGUUCGAUUCCCUCCCUCGGCA